rnacentral:lncRNA from 1 species
UUUUUUACUAUUGGAAGAAAAUCAUAAAACUAAAAGAAAAUCAGUAAAUGUUUCUUACCUCAAAAAACAAUAACGGACAAGAUCACCGUUUCAGCCCUGUAAGAUUUGCAAGAAGAGUAAAAAGGAUACAUCUAAAGGCAUUGACAUAUUCAAAUCCGACUAAUAAGGAUUGUGGUGGAGUGGUUGAGUCAGUAUUCUCAGAAGUUAUAUAUCCACUUCACGCACGAAUAUUGUUAUUUUCUUUAUAAUUUUCAUUGCUAAACUUAAAAGGUUAUUCUCUAUCUUCUGCUAUGUAUUGAUUUCAUAUGUCACACCGGUUUCAAGAAGGACCAGCUGAGGGUUCAACUGACCCGAACAGGAAUUCUGAAGAUCAGUGGACAAAGGCCGACUUCGCAGAACAAAUGGCAAAGGUUUCAGAAGGAUUUUCCUGUUGCAGAAAAUUAACAAAAGAAAAAUCAGUGCAAAGUUUGAAAAUGGCAUUCUUCACGUUAAACAACCAACACUGAUAACUUAAGCAGUGAAAAAGGAUAAAGAAUUGCCAGCAAAAGAAGAGCAAAAGAAAAUUAGUCCUAAGCCUGUGAGCAAACAAAAGCUAAAAAUCUUGCAGAAAAAUCACGAGCAGAUAAAAGUAGUUCUUACAUUGAAUCUGAAAGUGAAUUGUCAGAUGAUGAACCAACCUCAAUUUCUAGUCGUUUGGCUGCAAACCUGAAAGAAGCCAAGGAAAAUAAUGAAAAUGACUACUGUUUCUCUGUUGGUUCUUAUACGGGUCUAUGUCGCCAACGUGAUGAGGUCUACGAAUGAAGCUGAAAGAAAAAAUGAAACUAGUCUUUCUGUAGCUCAAAUUUAGUUGUGGGUAUUUUGCAUCUAUGGUGAAUAGAAUAACAAUUCAGUUUUAAAAUUUUAAUCAAUCAAAUUUGUUAUGAAUCUAAAAAAAAAAACCAUCAUUUAAAUAAAUCACAAGUGCUAAUGAGGUGAAAUGGUCGGCAUCUCAUGUGUGCUCACUGAAGGGGAGAGCAAAUGACCAAAUCCAAGUCCUAAGAGCUCAUUUAACUCGACAGAUAAAGCAGAUUAGCAAUUCCAAUUUUAAUCCUAGACCAUUUACAUGCUGAAAUUAACCAAUAUUAUUUAAUCUAAACAAUAUUUCCACCAAGUUCCUACUAGAUGGCCUAUUCGUUUGAUUCUUGACUCGACGAAGUUACUACACCAUUUAUUUAUUUAGGCAAUAUAUGUAGAUAGUUCAACUGUUAAGCUAUCGUCGAAUGUUCCACUAUAUGUAUUAAAUAGCUACAUGAUUCUGAUUUUUUGCAAGCUAAAUAAUUUGUACAUACAAAUAAAAUUCAGAAUAUAAUUAAAGCAAAUUUAGAAUUUCAACUCUUCAUUUUUCGUAUUCAUGCUUCAUAUUUCGGAUUACAAUAACCAGCGUGUCAGUUGUGUACCUGAUAUUGGAAGCAAAAGAAAAUGAAGAUGAGAAUCGGCAACAGUAAUAAUAAUACAACACAGCAACAACAGUCCAGCAACAGUAACAACCCAGGAACAGAGUUUGCAAACCAG